AUCGCUUCUCGGCCUUUUGGCUAAGAUCAAGUGUAUAAUAUCUCAGUCAAUAUUUUUGAUUGACAUUUAAUUUAUUUACAUAAAGAAUUUAUGAGGCUGCCCACUUCAU
ensembl:snRNA U2 U2 spliceosomal RNA